rnacentral:rRNA from 1 species
UAGGAUUCCCUUAGUAAUGGCGAACGAACAGGGAUGAGCUCGGCUUGGAAACUGGGGCUUCGGCCUUGGAUUGUAGCCUCUAGACAUAGUACCAACGGAGGCGCAGGUGUAAGCCUCUUGGAAAAGAGCAUCAACGUGGGUGAGAAUCCUGUGUUUCAUCUGCAGUCCACCGUGCACGGUACAUGUUCUCAGAGUCGCGUACCUCGGAAUUGGUGCGUAAAGUGGGUGGUAAAUUUCAUCUAAAGCUAAAUAUAGGCUUGAGACCGAUAGCAAACAAGUACCAUGAGGGAAAGAUGAAAAGGACUUUGAAAAGAGAGUUAAAAGUGUUUGAAAUUGCUGAAAGGGAAGCGAAUGGAACCAGUCCUCUGGCUGAGAUUGGUGCAUGCUCCUGUGAUGCCCGGCUGCUUCAGCGCAAGCGUGGUAGUUGGAGUUGAGCGGCUGUGUGUGCUGUUUCUCAGCUUGUGAGUCAACUUCUGUUCAUGCUUGGGGAUAGCCUCUUUGUCAUGACGAUCUCCGCGGAGUGAGUCUUGUCUUUGUAGGGACUCAGGCGUGUACAGCUUGCUGACGAAAUGGUUCUCUUCGACCCGUCUUGA